rnacentral:rRNA from 1 species
UACGGGGGGGACAAGCGUUGUUCGGAUUCACUGGGCGUAAAGGGCGCGUAGGCGGAUUCUCAAGUCGGAUGUGAAAUCUUGCAGCUCAACUGCAAGCCUGCAUUCGAAACUGGGGAUCUUGAGUACAGUAGAGGAAAGCGGAAUUCCAGGUGUAGCGGUGAAAUGCGUAGAUAUCUGGAAGAACACCAGUAGCGAAGGCGGCUUUCUGGGCUGAUACUGACGCUGAAGCGCGAAGGCUUGGGUAGCAAACAGG